UUUCUUUCUGGUCUGUGUUUUCAUGUUGCCUUCUACAUGUUCAAUUUGAUUUUUUUUUUCAUGGAUCGAUGGUAUAUGGUUUUUUUCCUGUGUGUUUUGAAUCGUCCUCUCUUGCUCCUGUUAAGGUUGGGGAACCAAUAUCUCUGUGGUGUCACCAUCUUUGCAAGAAGGGGAUAGAUCGACGCGUCAAGAAAUCAUUUCUGUUGCCAUGGCUCCAGUAGGCAAUACGAUUGUUGCUUGCGUACAAUUUUUUCUUGAUGCAGACUAGUUUCUUUUCUUGUACCCUGUUUUAGAAAAAUCUCACUCUUCUCUGUUUAUAUCUGUUCUGUUCAUGCACAGUGCUAACCCCGGGCUUGUCGGACUGGAAUCCUUUGAAGAAUGAAUCCCCAAUGACUGUGCUAGAUCCACCAUGCCAUUCAGUGUUGCAGGUCAUGAUGCUUCGAGCUCGUGAUUGGUCUGUGUCAGCGUAAUGGAUACAUUCAGUUAUCAUAUUUCCUCUAAAAUAUUCGUGUUUUCGUUCAUUAGAUU
rnacentral:sRNA from 1 species